rnacentral:tRNA from 1 species
CGGUGCCGUACUGGAGGAUCGUCGGCGCGGCCAUGCCCAGGCCGAUGCCGAUGCGCCGGGGAUCGUUGUCCUGGGCGCCCGC